CCCUGCUACAGGAAGUCAGUACCCAGGGAAGUCAAUAAAAGCUUCCCUCACCAACAUGGCUGGUUCCCCACUUCCUGUCAAGAUGGAGGACCAUACCACCACACCCAACUCAGGACACUCCCAACCACAGGCCUCCAGUCCCGAUACACCAGAAGCGGCAGUGGUAUCAAUCCCCUCUGAAGCCCGGGACAGACAGACGCGGUGAGGCAUUUUGCCAUCUGUAUCGCUGCUACUGCUUUCAUAUGGUGUUUGACAGAUCAGCG